CUGCGAGGUUAAAAUCAAAUCACUCCAAGGGGAUUUUCUGAUAGAAUGUCCCUCGGAAUAGGAAAAACAGGGAAUUCUGAGUCGGACCGCUUAUGAUUGAUGGUGUAGGCUUUUACAUCAUAGACUGGACAACGAACUUUAACCCAAUUACACACAGGGUUUUCAAUGCUUCGAUGUGAAUUCGCUUGUACAAUUUAUCUCCCGAGUAUUAGGAUGUUGACACCCUGGAAAUGAUUGGAGAGCAAAUUGGUUUUCCUAAUGGCAUAUUGCAAGAAUCUGCAUGUCCGUUGAUUUGGAUUACUCUCUUUCGGAAGAGUUGGAGAUUAUAUCCGAGUUACGGAUUAGGUGGUAGAAAGUGGAGGUGGAGAUGGCUCUGAUCAGAUGGACCAUGUCACUUGCUAGGGUAUACAGCUGUGGAGUGCAAAAAGGAGGAGGCGGCCAUUAAGGAGAAGUAGAAUGCACCCGACAAAGGGAGAUGCUUAGUGGACAUCCCUUUUGAACAAAUAGGAAAGGGGUGAGGACAAUUCAAUAUUGGAAGAGAUUGAGGCCCUGGACACCCCCUCUAGGGAGGCUACAAUACCCGGGAAGGCAGGUGAAACCAUGGAAGAAUAUCCCAAUGUGGGGGACGUACAGAGAAUCAAGUCAGAUCUCGAAAUAGCUUUAAAAAUUAUGGGAUGCUGUGAAGGUGACCUGGAUAUUGAUCAAGGUAACACACAGAAGGAUGUGGUUUCUGAAAAUGUGAUGGAGAAGGUAAUUUGUCCAGUGAUUUUUCUGGAGAUGAAGUGUACAUCCUAAAAGAGAGAACCAUAAGCUUUUCAGAAUCAUUAACCAAGGCUAAGACAGGAGAAAAAGGUCAGAGGGGUGGAAAAACAAAUAAGACCAAAUUGGAGAUAGUAGGGAUGGUGAAAGAACAUAGACAAGAUUGGGGAAAGGUAGCGGAGGAGCCAUGAGGCUCAUAACGUGGAAUUGUAAUGCCCCUAACAAGAGGCGUGAAUUAAAGCGCCUUAUGGAGUCAUCAUCCUUGAUAUUAAUGCUCAUUCUAGAAACAAAAAUGCAAGCUGAUGACCUCCACUAAAGCAUCUUAAGAUGGAGGAUCAUUUGGAGCUCGAACCCAUUCAGAAUCAGCAGUAUUGGAACACGCAGAAAGCUGCCUGAGGGGAACAUCUAACUACCUUUCUACAGUCAAUACCAGGGGAAUUCUUUUAUCAUUGGGGCAGACUUCAAUGCCACUAGUGACAUUACUGACAAAAGAGGGGGCCUCACCUAUCUCACCAGAGCUCAGGUAAAUUUUUAAAACUUCAUCUGUGAGAACUCUUUCAUCGACCUGAUACUAAACACUGGAAGAUUUACCUAGACUAACAAGAGAUGUGGAUUUACAAGCAUCACUGAGAGGCUAGGCAGGUUCUUCUUACAAUGAAACUGGGUGCAUAUUCCCCAGUUGCAGGAGUGACCCUGAAAAUGAUUGGAGAGCAAAUUUGUUCUUUCCUAGUGGUGGAUGAUCAUACUGAAGAUGGAGAAUUUGGCAUGUAUGCAAGAAUCUGCAUGUUCGUUGAUUUGGAUUCCCCUCAUUUGGAAGAGUUGGAGAUUAGAUCUGAGUUAGGGAUUUGGCGACAGAAAGUGCAGAUGGAGAUGACUUCAAUCAGAUGUAAACUAUGUCACCUUGCUAGGGCAGACAGCUGUGAAGUGCAAAAGAGAGGAGGUGACCGUUAAGGAGAAGGAGCUUGCACCCAACAAAGUGGGAUGCUCAGUGGACAUCCCCUUCUGAACAAAUAUUAAGGGGUGAGGACAAGCCAAUAUUGGAAGAGAGUGAGACCGUGUCCACCCCCUCUAGGGAGGCUAUAAUAAUUGGGAAGGCUGGUGAAGUCAUAGAAGAACAUCCCAAUUUGGGGGACAUACAGUAGACCAAAUCAAAGAAUUCAAAUGCACUUAAUUACCAGCAGUCUUAAAGUCAAAUCAACGAUUCUGUAUGAUAUUCUUUUAGCAGAAGCUGGUAUGUUUCCAAUUGAAGCGUUAGUGGUCAUUCAAUUGUUAUGUUAUCUAAAGAAAGCUGAAAAUAUGGAUAAACACUGCUGGCCCAAAAUGAUCGUGGAAGGGGGGGAGCUAAAUCGUAGGAAAAAGAACUGGAAAAAUCAAAAUAGCAAGUGGUUGAACAAGUGGAACAUAAAUCAUCAUGACUAUCCUAACACUAAAGAAGAGAUUAAAAAGUGGGUGGUAGAAAAAUCUAGGAAUGUUAUAAGGACAAAUCAGCUAGGGAAGAAAAAAGCAUAAUAUAUCAAAGAGUUUGACCCCACCUGGGAACAUGAUGAAAAAGUGUAUUUGAGAUCCGCAAUCAACGAAAAGGCCAAAAUUCUAAUUGCACAGUUAAGGACAGGGUCUCAUCAUUUGAGAUGUGAAACUGGUAGAUGGAAGGUCCCCAAAGAGGUCUGGGAAGAAAGGACGUGCAUUUUCUGCAGUAAGAGGGCAGUGGAGACAGAAUGGCAUUUUAUCAAAGAAUGUGCAGCAUACGACAUCUGCAAUCAGUUGUUAACGAAUUAAAGGUGGAUAGCUUGAAUGAGCUUUUUGAAGAGACAAGAAUUCACAAAACAACGAGUUUCCUAAUAAAGAUCCAUAGCAAGAGAGCCAACAUAGAAAAGAACUUGAAAACGGGCUAGCAUGUUUCAUCUUGGUCCCUUAGACCGUUGGGUCUCGUGGAUGCCAUUAAAAUUCCUUCAUUCAUUCAUUCAAUCAAUCAGCUUUAAAAAUUAUGGGGUGUUGUUAAGGCCACAUGGAUAUUGAUCAAGGUAACACACACAAGGAUCUGAUUUCUGAAAAUGUGAUGGGAGAAGAUAAUUCAUACAGUGAUUUUUUUUGAGAUGAAGUGGAUACCCUAAAAGAGAGAACCAUAAGCCGAUCAUAGUCAAAAUUAAUCAAAGCUAAGACAAGAGAAAAAGGUCAGAGGGGGAGAAAAAUAAAUGAGGCAAAAUUGGAGAUAGCAAGGAAGGUGAAAGGACAGAGAAAUACAAGAUUGGGGAAGGGUAGUAGAGGAGCCACGAGGCUCAUAAUGUGGACUGUUAGGGGCUGUAAUGCCCCUAACAAGAGGAGCGAAUUAAAGUGCCUUAUGGUGUUACCAUCCCUUGAUAUUACACUCAUUCAAGAAACAAAAGUGCAAGUUGAUGAUCUCCACUAAAGUAUCUUAAGAUGGAGUAACAAGGAAUGAUUGUUCAUAGAUGCUCUAGGUGCAUAAUUCAUUCAGGAGUAGUAGUAUCGACAGGCGUGUUCAAUCAUCUUUCUCCCUUGAAGUUUGAAAUUCAAUUUAAAUUAUGUCUAUGAUCCAACCAGGAACACGUAAAAAGCUGCCACAUGGGAACAACUCAGUACCUUUCUAUAGUCAAAGGCAGGGGAAUUCUUUAUCAUUGGAGGAGACUUCGAUGCCACCGGUGACAUUUCUGACAAAAGAGGGGGGGACCUCACCUAUAAAUUUCUAAAACUUUAUUUGUGUCUCUCUCAUUGACCUGAUAUCAAAUAACAGAAGAUUUACCUAGACUAACAAGAGAUGUGGAUUUACAAGCAUCAUUGAGAGGCUAGACAGGUUCUUCUUACAAUGAAAUUAGCUGGAUAUUCCUUAGUUGUAGGAGUGUACCAUCCUACCAGUCUGAGGAUCAGACCACUUCCUGUUGCUUUUGAAAUUCUUUCCAAAAUUCCGUUCCAAAUGCUGCUCUCUCAAAUUUGAAAAUAUGUGGCUAUGGGAUAAGGACAUAGAGGAUAGAGCGAAAGACUGGUGGGAUGGGGCACCACUUGUUAGGGACACAAAGCUCUUUCAAUUUUUCAAAAAGCUAGGUUUAGUCAAGGAAAGAUUGAAAGAGUGGAAGAAGAAUCACUUUAAGAACAUUUUUGAUGAAAAAAUCACGCUGGAAAAUAAUCUUGCAGAGUUGAAUGAGACAUAAUAAGAGAUUGAAUGGAUCAGAUGCCUUUCCACGAAGGGAAGGAACUAAUGGGUCAAUGCUUAGAGGUGCUAGCUAGGGAAGAAGGUUUUUGGAGACAAAAAUCCAGGGAGUGUUGGCUCAAGGAGAGGGAUAGAAAUUCAAAAUUUGUCCGCAUGUCUACAAAAGUGAGAAGAAAUCAAAUAGAAUUACUAAGAUGAGAAAUAAGGAGGGUGUGUUGGUGGAGAAUCCAAAAGAAAUUGGCAAGGUGGCAGAAGACUACUUUAAGGUACUCUUGAAUGAGGAAGGUUCUAAUUGUUGAUGUUUUUGUAGCUAGGUCGGAUUCCUUCUAGGGCCGACCUAGCAUAUGGGUGGCUAAUUGGCCUAUCGGCCUUAGUCACAUUAAUGUGCAAAAAAUCAAUAUGUAACUUGUAUUUUGGUCUGGCCCUAAAUGGGCGAUGUAACUUGUGAAUUGAGCCGGUCGUAUAAUGGGCGAUGAAACUUGUAAUGUGCAAAUGUAACUUGUGUGAAUAGGACCGACCCUAUGUUAAACAUGUAACUUGUAAAUACUUAUAGGGCUGACCCUGUAAUGGGCGCCAAGCAUAUUAUUGUUAUUAUUUGCAAGGCCAGCCUGAGGUGUACAAUGAGGUCAAGGCACAUAUAUACAUGCAAGGUUCAUUCAUGCAUCAAUACACACAUCAAGUCAGCAAAUUACAUCCUCCUUCAACAGCGAAUUUAUCCAAGACAGCGAAUACAUCUCUAAGACAGCGAAUUGCAUUAUCAAGAUCAGCGAACUUAUCCAAGGGCAGCGAAGUCAUCUCCCAGGUCAGCAAAUCUGUGCUUGAACAACGGACCUCAUUCAUGGUCUGCUACAGGUCUCCUUAAUCAGCGAAUUCUCCUCUCUGAUUAGGGCAUCAUUCUCAGUCAAGGAUAAUGGCAGAUAAGUUUGUUAUAACUCAGAUUUUCAUGGUGCUGUUCAUACUACUGUGUGCCCUAGUGUAAAGUUAUAUUCUGCUGUUCAUAUUGCUUCAAGUGUUGAAGCAAAAUUGUGAAGACACAGUCUGAUUAUUGCCUAAUACAAGUUGAGAUUUUCUU